rnacentral:lncRNA from 1 species
GGUUAGCUGGAGCUACCAUCUUUUCACUCUGUCAGGUAUAGCCCUCAUCUUGCUGUUGGCAGAUUUUCAUUGGUUGAGGGCAUCUUAACUUAUCAAAGAUCACCAGGACAUGCUCAAGAGGGAAUCAGACAGUAUGUGGAAUGCAGGGUUAUCUGUCAGAACUGUUGGAAUGUAUUGAAACUUGGAAAGCUGCUAAACUUGAAACUCCACUGCUUUUUUUCUUCCUGCACCAGCUCCUGUAGGUAUUUUGGGUUACAUACUUGAAAAGCAAAAUAUGGAUUUAGGACUCUACAUUGAUGAGAACAUAGGUAAGUAAUUUCUGCCCAUUAGUUUUAUAAAUUCAACAACAGGAACAACAUUUGAACCCGUGUUGAGUCCUGGGUGCUGAGAAUACCUGAAAUGUAAUAAAAAUCCUUUUUCCCUGAUCAGUGAUUUAUUAGUCUGACUUUUCUGUUCUUGUGUUGAUCAGCUUCUUUCUUUCAAACUCAUGAGCUAGGCAUCAAACUUAGCCACAUUUUGUAGAGAUAAGUAACACUGAUGAUAACAUGAUUUAGAAGAGAGGCCUUUUUUCUUGUGGUUAUGCAACCUCUGUCCUAAGACCAUAGGAAUCCAUGGUAUUGGCUCAGUGGCAGAGUCAGAACCGUCAAGCAUUCUGAGCCUUUCUUAUCUG